GACAGAGGGUGCAAACGUUGUUCGGAAUUACUGGGCGUAAAGCGUGUGUAGGCUGCCCCGCAAGUCGGGUGUGAAAGCCCCGGGCUCAACCUGGGAAGUGCACUCGAAACUGCGGGGCUGGAGUCCUGGAGAGGAAGGCGGAAUUCUCGGUGUAGAGGUGAAAUUCGUAGAUAUCGAGAGGAACACCGGUGGCGAAGGCGGCCUUCUGGACAGUGACUGACGCUGAGACACGAAAGCGUGGGGAGCGAACAGG
rnacentral:rRNA from 1 species